GAGACAGCCCGGCACAUCUAUUCCCCUAAUAAAGGCUUGUUGUGGCCUGGUCUGGUCUUGGUCUUUGGCACUUUUACCUGACAUUUCUGGUGCCGUGACUCGGAUGGUAGAUGGUCCAUUAAUGGACGAUCCCCCCCAGGAUGGGGUUGAUUGACCUUUUGGCCAUCUCCAAUGGACCUAUCUGCCAUUGCCAGGACCCUCCGGGGCUUUCUACCUUUGCCAUUGCUGGCGCUACACAUCCACACCGGUCACCAAUGUCUGGGUGAGUAGGGAGUUCAGCCUCCCUCUCGUCGGGUUCUCUGUCUCGUGUUCUCUCCCCCUCUGGGGACUUCUCAGAAAUCCAAGCGCUUGGUCAGAGAAACCCCCACGGCCUCUGGGCCCAGGACCCUGCCCCUGGGAGACGUCCCAUCGGCCCGCCUCCUCUCAUUCUCUCCCUUUGGGAGACUCACUCGGAGAUUGUCAAAGGAGACAAGGACGUUUCUCCCCUUUGUCUUUCCCCCCAGGGGCUGCCUCCUCCUCACCCGCUCUAAUCAGGGGGCCCAACAAUCCAAACCCCGCCCCUCAAUGCCUCCGGGCUGCCUUCUGGCACAACUCAAACCCCUCGGAUUGUUGGGACCAGACUUUAAGCCAAAAAGACUUGUUUUCUAUUACAAUCAGGUUUGACCUCAGUAUAAAUUAGAUAAUGGGUUUCCAUGGCCCAAAAAUGGCACUUUCAAGUUUAACUUACUGUGUGAUUUACACAACUUCUGUCAACACAAUGGCAAAUGGUCAGAAAUCCCCUACAUACAAGCCUUUCCUAACUAUGCUUUUAACCCUCCCUCUGUCAAACCUGUUCUCCUUCUCAAAUCGUCCUAGCCUGAGCCAAUCACUCACCGCUCAUACCUCCCCCACUUUAUAACUCUGUUGAUAGGAAAAAGUUUUAAAGUUUAAUAGAUUAGCUAUUAAAGUAGUUGUGGAAGCAAACUAGGACAAGACCAAAAGGCCUAGGUACAUAAAGAAGGUGUGUGGAAGUGAUUUAUGAAGGAAAUAUAUAUGUUUACUUGUUGGUUUCAAGUUUCUUAUAAAAGGUUUACAGGAAUAGAGGUUUCAUUCCUUCUGAUUUUAAUUCUACAAGAGAUCUCUGUUAAUUGACUUACAAAAAGUUUUAAAUAGUCUUAUUUAUAAUUAUAAACCUAAAAUUAUAAAGAGAUUAUAAUUCCUUUGGGCUAAAUAUAUUUGAGUGCACCCUAGUUUUAGAAAUUGUCUUAUAUCUUUGUUUUUUGUCCAAUCGUACAGCUGUUUUGUUUAUAGAUAAAGGUUAUUAAGUUCAAGGCAUGCUCCCCUUGGUGAACAAAGGAGUGGCUGCAUGGAAAUAUUUUCCAGUCUUUGUUCACUAGGGGGACCUCAACAGUUUUCAUCUUACAACAGACUGACCCGAUAGUUUUCAUAGCCUUAUAAAAGACUUACAGGAAUAAAUAUUAUUUAAAUAUAUUAUUAUACUGUUUAUAUCAAUUGUCAUCAAAGGGAUAAAUUCUAAAUAUGUUAUUAUGGUGUGCUUACACUGGUCAUUUUCAAAGGACUAAAUAUCCUGUAAAAAACAACAAUAACAAGGUUUUAUUUUUUCUAGUGUACUAAAUGUAUUUGUACUUUCUGACUGUACAGGUUUUCUAAUAUUUGUUUAUGAUAAUAACCUCUUUUUGGUUCAGGUAUUUGCCUUUUCAUACACUCUAGCUAUUUAUGAUAACAGAUACAUAUAUGGGCUAUUUUCUUUAGAUGGUAUCCUAUCAAAAGAUUAUUUAUUUAUUUGUUUUUUAAAGAUAAUAAUUUAGGUAAAAACUUUUGGUGUUUUUAAAAAAUGAGUACAUUUAACAAUGGCUAUUUUAUAUCAAGAUGGACAUUUAAAUGUGUUACAAAGGUAAAGUCAUCAUAAUUGUCAUGUUAAAAUAUUAUUUGUGGCUCUUUUUCUGUUAAUAUUCUACAGGAAUUCAACUACUAAAAAACAACCAUGACUGAUAACAGUAACAGUUCUCUAUAUUUUAAAUUCCAAAAUGCUUGCUAUUCUGGUAAAACUAUAAUAGUUAAGUUCAUUAUUCUUGUUACAAUGCUAACGCUAUUGACCUUCUCUUCUGGAUGUUCAACAACUAAAGUUUGGAGACCAGAACUAAAAGGUAACUGGGCUAUGAGGACAGCCAAUAUUUUGGCCCUGGCCCCUCAAGGUCAACAAAGUUCCAGGACAUGAGGGAACCUUCUCUACAGGGUCCUACAUCUUUGGAGGCUUCCAAAAACUGAGAGAUACAGGAAUCAAACUGUCCUGGCCUUGAAUUUAAAGGAGAAGUCAGGUUCAUAGUAACACUACACUCAUCGGUAGGUUGGCGUCCAAAAGACAUUUGCUCAGUUACAUACACCUUUUAUAUUUAAAAAACAAAGGAUUAUAAAGAUUAUAUAAAUUGUGUUUAUCACUUUUCCACUCAUUCUCUAAGAGCAAGGACAUGACACAGGGGCCCUUAGAUCAGGAGCUAUGAUCUCUUCCAUAACAGUCUCUUACUUCUAUAACAAAUGAGCCCCUAAACAUCCAGCUGUCUCUGUAAAACCUAUGUAAAUAAUAAAUAAAAAAUUACAUGUCAAAUGAAAAAAAUUAAAACUCAAUGGGCCAGAUAGAUAUGCCCCCCAAGGUACUAAUCAAUGGUGGGGUACAUUUGGUUCCUGGAGCUCAUGGCUAGCCUGGCUAUUACUACUCUUGGGACCCCUCAGUAUUAUCUGUUUAAUUCUCUGUUUUGGACUGUGCCUGGUUCGCUGUUUUCAAAAUUUCUUGCAGGAACGAUUGAGGGCAUUCACCAGCCAGACAGUCACAGAGUUCAUCAUGGCAGGGUACCAGCCAGUACGGCAAAAGGAAGAGGUCCCCACUUGCCACCGGCCUCAUGAGAUCCAGGUCUAGCCCCGAUCUUUGCCCCUGGUCAGCAGGAAGCAGCUCCAGAAGAAGAGACCUUAGAACAACUAUCAUACAACAAAAGCCUGGAAUGAUAGGUCUCCCACCACCUCAGCAGCUAUUAUGUAUCAUAGCUGCCCUCUUCCUAUGGUGCCUUGCCCCCUCCCCUGUGUGAUGUCAUGCCAAGAUGGUUGCUCCCACCAAAGAAUAAACCCUUCUUCCCAGCAUGCCCCUGUUCCCGCCUAGAAAGUAACCUAAUACUCGCUCACCUCCUACAACCUAGUGACAUCACUGGCUCCUCCAUUCCCUAGUCACUACCUCACUCAACCCCACCUCAGCCCCUACAAACCCCACCCCAGUCUCUAUAAAAGACUCUCCCUGCCCCGGCCAUAUUGCUUUUGUCUCUCCUUUGUUCAGAGACAGCCCGGCAGAUCUAUUCCCCUAAUAAAGGCUUGCUGUGGCCUGGUCUGGUCUUGGUCUUCGGCCCUUUUACCUGACACCAUCUUAAUUGUAUAUAAA
rnacentral:lncRNA from 1 species